rnacentral:lncRNA from 1 species
CACAAAAUAACCUUUCUAGAAGGCCUUAUCCCUUCUCCUACAAAAGUGACGCCCCAAACCUUUCUAGGACUCCUAGAAACCUGAUUAUUCCUUUCCCCCUUGGUUUCUAAAAGCCUUAGCCUUUUCCUUCAAGGAUUGUGUGUUAUUAUCCUAUACAAAUUAGGCUUUUAAAUCCUUUUCCUUUGCUACAUAGGGGCUGCGAAUUUCAGCCUAUAAAUACCACCCUUUGCUGCACCAUUUAGUCACCAUCCUCUACCAUAUUUUCACUACACCAUUCACCCAAACAUACCUUGUGUGCCGUGAGUUUGCAAGGAGAAGAAGGAAGACAACUUGGAGCCGUGCAUGCCAUUCAAGGAGCUUGGAUUGUGGAGCGUUUCUAGGUGUUUUCUAUCUUUGUUUUAAUGUUUAAAUUUAUUUAUCUUUGUUUAUUUGCGAGUAUGAGGAACUAAACCCCCCUUGGCUAGGGGGGAUUCGAAACCAUGAUUAUGCUUGCUAUAUGAUUUGAUUACUUUUAAUUGCGUUUCAUAAGUUGUGAUUUCAAUUUGCUUAUCUAUGUGAAUUAAAACUUAUUCUUGUAUGUUGAUUGAGGGUCGACACUUAGUUUGCAUGCUUGAAUU